ensembl:snRNA U6 U6 spliceosomal RNA
GUGCUCGCUCCAGCAGCGCAUAAACUAAAAUUGGAAUGAUACAGAGAAGAUCAGCAUGGCCCCUGUGCAAGGAUGACACACAAAUUUGUGAAGUAUUCCAUAAUUUG